rnacentral:rRNA from 1 species
UACGUAGGGUGCGAGCGUUAAUCGGAAUUACUGGGCGUAAAGCGUGCGCAGGCGGUUUUGUAAGCCAGAUGUGAAAGCCCCGGGCUUAACCUGGGAAUGGCAUUUGGGACUGCAAGGCUUGAGUGCGGCAGAGGAGACUGGAAUUCCUGGUGUAGCAGUGAAAUGCGUAGAUAUCAGGAGGAAUACCGAUGGCGAAGGCAGGUCUCUGGGCUGACACUGACGCUCAUGCACGAAAGCGUGGGAGCAAACAGGAUUAGACGUACCC